AGAGUUUGAUCAUGGCUCAGGAUGAACGCUGGCGGCGUGCCUAAUACAUGCAAGUCGAACGGAGGUAUUGUAUUCGUACGAUACCUUAGUGGCGAACGGGUGAGUAACGCGUUGGUGACCUGCCCCGAAGAGGGGGAUAACAGUCCGAAAGGAUUGCUAAUACCCCAUGUGGUCCCGGUGAUUAGAUGCCCGGUGACUAAAGGAGUAAUCCACUUUGGGAGGGACCUGCGUCCCAUCAGCUAGUUGGUAGGGUAACGGCCUACCAAGGCUAGGACGGGUAGGGGACCUGAGAGGGUGGCCCCCCACAAUGGAACUGAAACACGGUCCAUACACCUACGGGUGGCAGCAGUAGGGAAUAUUGCUUAAUGGGCGAAAGCCUGAAGCAGCAACGCCGCGUGCACGAUGAAGGUCUUCGGAUCGUAAAGUGCUUUUUUAGAGGAUGAGGAAGGACAGUACUCUAAGAAUAAGCCUCGGCUAACUACGUGCCAGCAGCCGCGGUAAAACGUAGGAGGCGAGCGUUAUCCGGAUUUACUGGGCGUAAAGCGUGUGCAGGUGGUUUGGUUAGUUGGAUGUGAAAGCUCCUGGCUUAACUGGGAGAGGUCGUUCAAUACUGCCAGACUUGAGAGUGAGAGAGGGAGGUGGAAUUCCGGGUGUAGUGGUGAAAUGCGUAGAUAUCCGGAGGAACACCAGUGGCGAAAGCGGCCUCCUGGCUCAUUUCUGACACUCAUACACGAAAGCUAGGGUAGCAAACGGGAUUAGAGACCCCGGUAGUCCUAGCUGUAAACGAUGUGAACUUGGCGUUGGUGGGUUCAAAUCCAUCAGUGCCGAAGCUAACGCGAUAAGUUCACCGCCUGGGGACUACGGCCGCAAGGCUAAAACUCAAAGGAAUUGACGG
rnacentral:rRNA from 1 species